UACGGAGGGAGCUAGCGUUGUUCGGAAUUACUGGGCGUAAAGCGCGCGUAGGCGGCUUUGUAAGUUAGAGGUGAAAGCCCGGGGCUCAACCCCGGAACUGCCUUUAAGACUGCAUCGCUUGAAUCCGGGAGAGGUGAGUGGAACUGCGAGUGUAGAGGUGAAAUUCGUAGAUAUUCGCAAGAACACCAGUGGCGAAGGCGGCUCACUGGCCCGGUACUGACGCUGAGGUGCGAAAGCGUGGGAGCAGACGAGG
rnacentral:rRNA from 1 species